rnacentral:rRNA from 1 species
CCUACGGGAGGCUGCAGUGGGGAAUAUUGGACAAUGGGCGAAAGCCUGAUCCAGCCAUGCCGCGUGUGUGAAGAAGGCCUUCGGGUUGUAAAGCACUUUCAGUGGGGAAGAAAGCCUUGGGGCUAAUACCCUCGAGGAAGGACAUCACCCACAGAAGAAGCACCGGCUAACUCCGUGCCAGCAGCCGCGGUAAUACGGAGGGUGCGAGCGUUAAUCGGAAUUACUGGGCGUAAAGCACGCGUAGGCGGUCUGAUAAGCCGGUUGUGAAAGCCCCGGGCUCAACCUGGGAACGGCAUCCGGAACUGUCAGGCUAGAGUGCAGGAGAGGAAGGUAGAAUUCCCGGUGUAGCAGUGAAAUGCGUAGAGAUCGGGAGGAAUACCAGUGGCGAAGGCGGCCUUCUGGACUGACACUGACGCUGAGGUGCGAAAGCGUGGGUAGCAAACAGGAUUAGAUACCCGAGUAGUC